rnacentral:rRNA from 1 species
GAUGAACGCUGGCGGCGUGCCUAAUACAUGCAAGUCGAGCGAACAGACGAGGAGCUUGCUCCUCUGACGUUAGCGGCGGGCGGGUGAGUAACACGUGGAUAACCUACCUAUAAGACUGGGAUAACUUCGGGAAACCGGAGCUAAUACCGGAUAAUAUAUUGAACCGCAUGGUUCAAUAGUGAAAGACGGUUUUGCUGUCACUUAUAGAUGGAUCCGCGCCGCAUUAGCUAGUUGGUAAGGUAACGGCUUACCAAGGCAACGAUGCGUAGCCGACCUGAGAGGGUGAUCGGCCACACUGGAACUGAGACACGGUCCAGACUCCUACGGGAGGCAGCAGUAGGGAAUCUUCCGCAAUGGGCGAAAGCCUGACGGAGCAACGCCGCGUGAGUGAUGAAGGUCUUCGGAUCGUAAAACUCUGUUAUUAGGGAAGAACAAAUGUGUAAGUAACUAUGCACGUCUUGACGGUACCUAAUCAGAAAGCCACGGCUAACUACGU